rnacentral:rRNA from 1 species
GGCUACAAUGGUCAGGACAAUGGGUAUCGACACCGAGAGGUGGAGGCAAUCUCCUAAACCUGUCCUUAGUUCGGAUUGUGGGCUGCAACUCGCCCACAUGAAGCUGGAAUCCGUAGUAAUCGCGUUUCAAAAUAGCGCGGUGAAUAUGUCCCUGCUCCUU